rnacentral:rRNA from 1 species
CGGAUAGAGCUAGCGAAGUCGCUCGUAUUCAGCCAAAAGUCUGGGGUUGCCUAUCGUCGUGUUUCUCAUCGAGCACGGCGGUUUGUCUUCUCUGGAUUGAGGUGCAUUUGCGGGCGUUUGCGCUGAGACUUGCGAGGCAGCUGCGGGACCGGCGUCUAGAGGCUUCCCAUUGGGUCGAACCUGGGCACCGUUACAGCUGUUUGCCUUGCUCGUACUGGUCUGGCUUACGGACCCUGCUCGUGCUGUUGUCACCUGGCCAAGGCAUCGCAUGCGAUGUCUAGUCUGAGGGCUGCAGCGCGGGUUGGUGUCCCCGGAUCGCAUCUCGGUGUAGAAGCUGGUCAUCUCUCCGACCCGUCUUGAAACACGGACCAAGGAGUUUAGCGUAUGCGCGAGUCAUUGGGUGUUAAAACUCACAGGCGCAAUGAAAGUGAAGGCUCGGUCGCCGGGCUGACAUGCGAGUGCCGCGGCUUCGGCCCAGGUAUGCAGCAUGGUCCCAUUGCAAUCGUUUACGAUACAGUGGAGACAGAGCGUAUGCGCUGAG